AAGGAACGCUAGCUAUAUGCUUAACACAUGCAAGUCGAGCGGGCGUAGCAAUACGUCAGCGGCAGACGGGUGAGUAACGCGUGGGAACGUACCUUUUGGUUCGGAACAACACAGGGAAACCUGUGCUAAUACCGGAUAAGCCCUUACGGGGAAAGAUUUAUCGCCGAAAGAUCGGACCGCGUCUGAUUAGCUAGUUGGUAGGGUAAUGGCCUACCAAGGCGACGGUCAGUAGCUGGUCUGAGAGGAUGAUCCGCCACAUUGGGACUGAGACACGGCCCAAACUCCUACGGGAGGCAGCAGUGGGGAAUAUUGGACAAUGGGGCAACCCUGAUCCAGCCAUGCCGCGUGAGUGAUGAAGGCCCUAGGGUUGUAAAGCUCUUUUGUGCGGGAAGAUAAAGACGGUACCGCAAGAAUAAGCCCCGGCUAACUUCGUGCCAGCCGCCGCCGUAA
rnacentral:rRNA from 1 species